CUGGCUUCUAGGAGCAUGUGCACAUCUGUCAUUUUUAUCUAUCCACCUGUGCACCUUUUGUAGUCUUUGGAGGUAAUAAGCGUGAAUCAAUCGAGGUCCUCUGGUCCUUGGANAGAGGUGUUUGCCGUAUGGCUCGCCUNUGAUACUCGCGAGUUACUCUAAGACUAUGUCCUUUCAUAUACUACGAAUGUAAUAGAAUGUAUUCAUUGGGCCUCAGUGCCUAUAAAACAUAUACAACUUUCAGCAACGGAUCUCUUGGCUCUCGCAUCGAUGAAGAACGCAGCGAAAUGCGAUAAGUAAUGUGAAUUGCAGAAUUCAGUGAAUCAUCGAAUCUUUGAACGCACCUUGCGCUCCUUGGUAUUCCGAGGAGCAUGCCUGUUUGAGUGUCAUUAAAUUCUCAACCCCUUCCGGUUUUUUGACUGGCCUUGGGGCUUGGAUGUGGGGGAUUCAUUUGCGGGCCUCUAUAGAGGUCGGCUCCCCUGAAAUGCAUUAGUGGAACCGUUUGCGGUUACCGUCGCUGGUGUGAUAAUUAUCUACGCCAAAGACAAACUGCUCUCUGAUAGUUCUGCUUCCAACAGUCCAUUUAUUGGACAACAUUAUUAUGAACACUUGACCUCAAAUCAGGUAGGACUACCCGCUGAACUUAAGCAUAUCAAUAAGCGGAGGA
rnacentral:rRNA from 1 species